AUUGAACGCUGGCGGCAUGCCUAACACAUGCAAGUCGAGCGAGCGGCGGACGGGUGAGUAAUGUAUGGGGACUGCCCGAUAGAGGGGGAUAACUACUGGAAACGGUCGCUAAUACCGCAUACUAUCGGAUAACCCAUAUGGGAUUAGCUAGUAGGUGAGGUAAUGGCUCACCUAGGCGACGAUCCCUAGCUGGUCUGAGAGGAUGAUCAGCCACACUGGGACUGAGACACGGCCCAGACUCCUACGGAGGCAGCAGUGGGGAAUAUUGCACAAUGGGCGCAAGCCUGAGGGAGCAAGGCCGCGUGUAUGAAGAAGGCCCUAGGGUUGUAAAGUACUGUCAGUCGGGAGGCGUUACCGACAGAAGAAGCACCGGCUAACUCCGUGCCAGCAGCCGCGGUAAUUC
rnacentral:rRNA from 1 species